rnacentral:rRNA from 1 species
UACAGAGGGGGCAAGCGUUGUUCGGAAUUACUGGGCGUAAAGGGCGCGUAGGCGGCCUUCUAAGUCGAACGUGAAAUCCCCGGGCUCAACCCGGGAACUGCGUCCGAUACUGGAAGGCUUGAAUCCGGGAGAGGGAUGCGGAAUUCCAGGUGUAGCGGUGAAAUGCGUAGAUAUCUGGAGGAACACCGGUGGCGAAGGCGGCAUCCUGGACCGGCAUUGACGCGUGAGGCGCGAAAGCCCAGGGGAGCAAAGCGGG